rnacentral:rRNA from 1 species
UCGGGAAUUUUGGGCAAUGGGGGAAACCCUGACCCAGCAACGCCGCGUGAAGGAUGAAGUAUUUCGGUAUGUAAACUUCGAAAGAAUAGGAAGAAUAAAUGACGGUACUAUUUAUAAGGUCCGGCUAACUACGUGCCAGCAGUCGCGGUAAUACGUAGGGACCAAGCGUUGUUCGGAUUUACUGGGCGUAAAGGGCGCGUAGGCGGCAUGACAAGUCACUUGUGAAAUCUCUGGGCUUAACCCAGAACGGCCAAGUGAUACUGUCGCGCUAGAGUGCAGAAGGGGCAAUCGGAAUUCUUGGUGUAGCGGUGAAAUGCGUAGAUAUCUACUGGAAUGCCGAUGGUGAAGACGCGCGACUGGGCCUGUCCUGACGCUGAGGCACGAAAGCGUGGGGAGCAAACAGGAUUAGAUACCCUAGUAGUCCCUGAGCGGGCUGGCAAGGCGCAU